rnacentral:rRNA from 1 species
GACGAACGCUGGCGGCGUGCUUAACACAUGCAAGUCGAACGGAAAGGCCCUGCUUGCCGGGUGCUCGAGUGGCGAACGGGUGAGUAACACGUGGGUGAUCUGCCCCUUAUUUUGGGAUAAGCCUGGGAAACUGGGUCUAAUACUGGAUAGGACCAUGCUGUAGGUGGUGUGGUGGAAAGAUUAGUUUCGGUAAGGGAUGAGCUCGCGGCCUAUCAGCUUGUUGGUGGGGUAAUGGCCUACCAAGGCGUCGACGGGUAGCCGGCCUGAGAGGGUGGACGGCCACAUUGGGACUGAGAUACGGCCCAGACUCCUACGGGAGGCAGCAGUGGGGAAUAUUGCACAAUGGGCGCAAGCCGGAUGCAGCGACGCCGCGUGGGGGAUGACGGCCUUCGGGUUGUAAACUCCUUUCAGCCAUGACGAAGCCCUUGUGGUGACGGUAGUGGUAGAAGAAGCACCGGCUAACUACGUG